AUAAAUACUUUGAUUGAGAAAAGUAAAUUCUAUAACAUUUAGUAAGAGAACUUAUCAUUUGUUGGGAGAUAAGAUUUGUGAAAGAAUUGAAAAUCACUCAUGAGUAGUUAGCUGAAGGUAUUAUUAUAUUGUGUAAGCAUGACCGGCCGCAACCGUUAUAUUGCCGAAUAUUAAAUAGGUUUUCCUAAAGAUAUUUUGAAGGGUUACUUUUAAGUAACAAGUAGAGUGGUAACGCAGAGUUUUAGACUUUGUCUCUAAU
rnacentral:ncRNA from 1 species